rfam:Brassica rapa chromosome A9, whole genome shotgun sequence.
GUCCCUUUAGGGACAUUCGAUAAAAUUGGAAUGAAAUAAAGAAAAUUAGCAUGGUCCAUGCGUAAGGAAGACAUGCACGAAUUGAAAACUAGUCCAAAUUUUA